rnacentral:rRNA from 1 species
CAAUGCUGUCCGCCAGAGAACUACAAGUGAAAAACUAGAAACUCCAAGGACUUGGCGGUGCCCCAUACCGACCUAGAGGAGCCUGUCCUAUAAUCGAUAAUCCACGCAACACCUCACCGCUUCUUGCAAUUCAGCCUAUAUACCGCCGUCGUCAGCCUACCCUGUGAAAGAAACAAAGUAGGCAAAACAGUUUUUAACUAAAACGUCAGGUCAAGGUGUAGCAUAUGAAACGGAAGAGAUGGGCUACAUUUUCUAUAAUAGAAAACACGAACGGCACAGUGAAAUCUGUUCCCAAAGGCGGAUUUAGCAGUAAGUUAAACAAGAAACUUUA